rnacentral:rRNA from 1 species
GACGAACGCUGGCGGCGUGCUUAACACAUGCAAGUCGAACGGAAAGGCCCUGCUUUUGUGGGGUGCUCGAGUGGCGAACGGGUGAGUAACACGUGAGUACCUGCCCUUGACUUUGGGAUAACUUCAGGAAACUGGGGCUAAUACCGGAUAGGAGCUCCUGCUGCAUGGUGGGGGUUGGAAAGUUUCGGCGGUUGGGGAUGGACUCGCGGCUUAUCAGCUUGUUGGUGGGGUAGUGGCUUACCAAGGCUUUGACGGGUAGCCGGCCUGAGAGGGUGACCGGCCACAUUGGGACUGAGAUACGGCCCAGACUCCUACGGGGGGCAGCAGUGGGGAAUAUUGCACAAUGGGCGGAAGCCUGAUGCAGCAACGCCGCGUGCGGGAUGACGGCCUUCGGGUUGUAAACCGCUUUCGCCUGUGACGAAGCGUGAGUGACGGUAAUGGGUAAAGAAGCACCGGCUAACUACGUG